GUCCCUGUCGAUUAGUGGUUAAAUCAUCUCGUUGUGGUUUCCCGCUCCGAGAAGCCGGAAGUUCGAAUCCUCCUAGGGACA